GAUCCUGGCUCGGGAUGAACGCUAGCUACAAGCUUAACACAUGCAAGUCGAGGGGCAGCAUUUCAGUUUGCUUGCAAACUGGAGAUGGCGACCGGCGCACGGGUGAGUAACACGUAUCCAACCUGCCGAUAACUCGGGGAUAGCCUUUCGAAAGAAAGAUUAAUACCCGAUAGUAUAAUGAAACCGCAUGGUCUUAUUAUUAAAGAAUUUCGGUUAUCGAUGGGGAUGCGUUCCAUUAGGCAGUUGGUG
rnacentral:rRNA from 1 species